CCAUGACUUUGUCACUGCUUCGGAGAGGGAAGAUCUCACUGCUAAGCUUCAAGAGGUGGAAGAUUGGCUAUAUGAGGAGGGUGAAGAUGAAACUAAAGGUGUAUACAUUGCCAAACUUGAAGAGCUAAAAAAGGUAAGAGGUUUUGCAUAGAAGACAGUCACCACUCUUGCCCUCUGUCAAGCUGUAAAACUUUACAAAGAAAAAGGGAUUAGAGGAUCCCUGUUGCUUUUACCCUUUGUGCUUUUAUGGCAAAUAUUAGUGAGUGGAUACAUUUUCAUGUUAGUUAACCAUUAGAAACCAUAACUGAGCAUUAUUUAUUUAUGCAAUUGCAGCAAGGUGACCCUAUCGAAGAGCGUUACAAAGAAUACACAGAGAGGGGUACAAUAAUUGAGCAGUUCAUCUAUUGUAUAAGUAGUUACAGAGAAGCUGCAAUGUCAGCUGAUCCCAAAUUUGAUCACAUUGACAUUAACGAGAAACAGAAGGUAAUAAUUGCUCGUCAAAUUUUUUCCCUUCUCUACAAAAUGGUUGUAGUUUACUCUGAAGUAGUGUCUAUUUAUUUUGUCGUGUUUGUAGGUCUUAAAUGAGUGUGUUGAAGCUGAGAACUGGCUUAGGGAGAAGAAGCAGCAGCAGGACUCACUUCCAAAAUAUGCCAACCCAGUACUCUUGGUAGCUGAAAUAAGAAGGAAAGCUGAGGCUGUUGAUAGGUAUUUGCUUUAAUUCUUGCCGUGGGUACCGCAUUCUGGCUAUUUAGGUUUUUUCAGGCAGUCCCUUGCUGUGGCCUUGUUUAAUGUAUUUAUAUGAACAAACCAGUUGAGUUGGGGAAGGAUUAAGCGUAACUUGUGAACUUUUGAAAAACCUCUUGUAUUCUAAUCCAUUUUAUUUGUUUUCUCUUUCUAUUGUUAAACUAUGUUUUCUGAUCAAAAUGUAUAUUUUUAAUAGGAUAUGCAAGCCGAUUAUGACAAAACCAAGGCCAGCCAAGCCAGCUGCUCCUCAAGCACCACCAACCCCAGCUUCUCCCGGUGCUGAGCAGCAGCAAUCUCAGGCAGAUGCUAAUGUCAGCACUAAUGAUAAUGCCGGCGAUGAUGGUAGUCAGGCUACUGAACCAAUGGAGACUGAAAAGUCAGAGAAUGCAGGUUCUGCUUAAUUUUUGUUCUUGAUUUGGUAUCAAGUUCGUGCCAAGACUAGUAGUAUCUACAACAUUUUGUAAGAGCAUAUAUGAUUAUGAAAUGCCAGAAUUGGGCCUAGAAAAGAGUCUUGGGUGGGUUGACAGUGAGUGGCUGCUGGUAUGUGUGAUGUGGAGCCCUCUCUGUUGGUUGGUUUAGUUACACAAGUUUCAAUUAUACUUUAUUUAUGAUGAUAGUCUUUGAAAUCCAGAUUUUUUGCAGAAAUGUUUUGAAGAGAAAUUGAUUGUGUAUGUGUGGUCUACCUUCCUAAAUGCAUGGUUCGAAGAGGCCAAAUUUACGCCCUUUAAGUUUAACUUUAUAAUAUAUUUGUGUACAAUUUCUAGAAGUUGAAUUAUAAUGGUUGUUUCCCAUUGUGUUUCAAAUGGCAUUUUUUGUGGCAUUUACCUUUUCAUUGUAUUUGGUAACAUAUGAUCAUCAUCUAGACGUUUCUAUGAAUUUUCUUUAUAUCUCCCUCAAAUGGAGUUUGGAAGUAAAUUGAGUGAUUUAAUCAGAUCAGAUAAGCCUUCGGUCGGUGUUGUGCAAGAUUAAAAAAUAGCUGAAGAGAGUUUAUGCAUUCUUUCAUUUACGCAGUUAAAAGUUUAGUGUGUUUAAUACUAUCAUCUCUUCUAGAAAAUGAUUUUUUUUCUACAAAAUAUUUUAUUUAAUACAAGAUUUUUAGGUGUCAUGGUUCACUAGGAUUAAAAUGGUUUGUUUUUUCGGCAAAGUGAAGUAAGGAACCAACUGUAAGCUUUGUUUGGGAGCUGCAAGGGAAACAAGUGGAGGCUAGUUUAUAAACAAGAGCAAUAUUUUUCUAUACCCUAAAGCGCAUUUUAUUAAAGAUAGCCAUGAGGGCUUACGAACAAAACUACAAAAGUGACAAUAUCUCUGAAAUGUGGCUUGAGGUUGGAACAAUGGUGUUGUUUGCAAAUUGAGGUCAAAGAUCUUGAAGAACAUCUGCACUCUUUCAUUCACCGAGAUGCUAUUAUUAAGGACAAAACAUGGGAGAUUAUGUGCAAGAGUUAAAAGCAGACAAUAUCUUGCAAAUGUUGCUUGUGGAGGUUCUGAAACUUAUUUAAAAUGCUCCAUAAUUAUUUGAAUUUUCUUUCAAUCUAUUUUUUGUGUCACCUUGUAUGAGGACUUUUUGUUUAAUAAAUAAAAAUAACCUUUUUUAUGUAAAGUGUGGGCCUAUUCUCCCUUUGUCUUUCUAUUUCCUCCAUUUUUCUGUAAACCUAGUAUUUUGUUUCCAACAAACUCCAUGCAAAAACAAAUUUUGCAAAAACACAAAAACAGCAUCAUCAAAGUGUUGGCAGACAACAGACUACAAUCUCUAGAUGAUAUAUCUACAUAAUCCAUGACUACACAAAAAAUGAAUCACAACACAUAAAAGUAUCGAAAGAAUCGUGGAAUCAAACAAAAUUAUGAGGCAAUAAUAUAUGGUGUUUUAGCAUAGAAAACAAUACGCUAAACAUUAAAACAACUAGUCAAAUGUAACAAAUACAAAGCAUAGUACUUAAACAAGGGAAAAUAAAAUAAAAAAGAAGAUAAGGUCAACAUGUAUGGAUGAAAAAAGUUAGAGAAACAUAAAUAAAGGUCUUUUUCUAAGUUAGAGGUGAGUAUGUGAAUUUAAUUUGCUCUGUAUAAACACACACUAUACGGAAUUAAGAUGAUGUAUAUGAAUAAUAAAAAAUUGGCUAAAUUACAUUCGUGGUCCUUUAACUUAAGUCCAGGUAACGUUUUGGUCCUUUAACUUUUUUUUUUCUUCCCAUUUCAGUAUUUUAUCUUUUGAAAUAAUUUUAAUUUUACCCUUUAAGUGAGAUUCCGUUAAGGCAACGUUAACAAAUUCCCUCAUCCGUUUUCUUUCCAGUUUUUUCUCUUUGAUAUUUCUAAAUCUCUUGUUUGGUAUUCUCAUCUCCACUGAUUUUCAUCUUCUCAUUUUCGUCUUCUUAUUUUCCUGUUUUCUUCUCUCAUCUCCACUGAUUUCCCUCUUCAUCUCCGUGAAAGCGUGUUCUUCUCUUGUCCCACUAGUUUUUCUCUUAUCAUUUUCUUCUUCCAUCCAUGAAAAAUUAUAUUCACGGUUCCCAAAACUCAAAAUCCAUGGCCGCCUCAUGUUCAAAUGGGUCAAAUACACAGUCCUACAACUAUGGUUCUUUCGUUUCCAAUGGAAUUCGUGAGCUGCCAAAUUGUGCUUGUGGUUUGAAACCAGUGAUGCGCACAGUGACAAAAUGGGGUCCGAACAGAGGAAGAAAGUUUUGGGGUUGUAGGAAUUUUGUGGUAAACAAUAAUACCUUUAUAGUUUUCAAUAUUUUAGUUGAGGUUGUUAGAUUAGAUUUUGAAAUUUUGUUUUUCAUAAUGGUUUUCUCAUAUUAGGGUUUUAGAUUUAUGGUUUUUUGGUUCAGAUUAGAAAUUUGUUUAUUGUUGAUUUGUUAUUGAUAUUGUCUUUGUUCAUCAAUUGUAGAGUUAUGAUGUUGAAUGUAGAUGCAAUUACUUUGUUUGGGAUUCAGACUAUAUGCCUCAAACACAACAGAGAACUCCACAACAAAUACAUACACAAUGUUUAGAGUGCCCCCAAAAGGAGUUGGAGAUUAUGACUCUUAGGAAUGUCAUUUUGAAGAUGCAAGGAGAUCACAAGUCAACCAUUAUUAAGAUGAAGUUGCUGCUAUUUUUAUGCAUUUUGUUUGGUGUAGCAUGUGUUGUUUUAUUGUUGAUCUUAGCUCUAAAAUGAGCUUAUUGUAGUAGAUGUAAUUUUCUUGAGGUUGAUGUAGUAGAUUUGUUGUAAGUAUGUAGUUAUGAUAGAGUUUGUUGUAUGGAAUUUGGAACUAUUAAUGUAAUUUUCUUUUGCAUCAAUUGUGGCUCCAAUGUUCUUGGUUGUUAUUUCUUUAAUUAUUACUGUCAAUAUAAUGUUUGGUUUGUCUGCAGUUGUAUGAUUAAAUAUUAUAUUUAAAUUGAUGAAAAUCAGAAAGUCAACACGGUGCUAUGAAUCUCAGAAAAUCAGAAUUGAGANNNNNNNNNNNNNNNNNNNNNNNNNNNNNNNNNNNNNNNNNNNNNNNNNNNNNNNNNNNNNNNNNNNNNNNNNNNNNNNNNNNNNNNNNNNNNNNNNNNNNNNNNNNNNNNNNNNNNNNNNNNNNNNNNNNNNNNNNNNNNNNNNNNNNNNNNNNNNNNNNNNNNNNNNNNNNNNNNNNNNNNNNNNNNNNNNNNNNNNNNNNNNNNNNNNNNNNNNNNNNNNNNNNNNNNNNNNNNNNNNNNNNNNNNNNNNNNNNNNNNNNNNNNNNNNNNNNNNNNNNNNNNNNNNNNNNNNNNNNNNNNNNNNNNNNNNNNNNNNNNNNNNNNNNNNNNNNNNNNNNNNNNNNNNNNNNNNNNNNNNNNNNNNNNNNNNNNNNNNNNNNNNNNNNNNNNNNNNNNNNNNNNNNNNNNNNNNNNNNNNNNNNNNNNNNNNNNNGGACUGAGCUUGCUGGAACUGGGACUGAGCUUGCUGGGACUGGGACUGAGCUUGCUGGGACUGGGACUGGGACUCGGACUGGGACUGAGCUUGUUGGGACAGACCUUGUGCAGAUUGUAGUUUGCUGGGUCUUCCUCUGCGUUUGACAGGUUGUGUGGGUUGGUUUUUCUUGGGUCUUCCUCUGGUUUUGAUAGGUUGUGACUGGGCUUGGGCUUGGGUCUGGGCAGCUUUAAUGUGGGUUUGAACAGCUUCAGUUUGGGCUUGGACAACUUCAGUUUGGGCAUGACCAACUUCAGUUUGAGACUGGCUUUCUUGGGUUUGGCUUGGACAUGAUGCCUUGUUAUGACCAGAUUGUUUACAGUUGCUGCACUUAAUUGACAUCCCUUUCCUACUAAUCAUUGUUGAGUCCUUAUUUUUUUCAUCGCCAUCUUUGUUCCUUGACCUUUUGGGCCUUCCUGGAAGCCUUCUUGAUGGUGGCAGUAAGACAUCAGGAUAUGGAGUUUGAGCCCAUAUAUUUUGUCCAUUUGUUGGGUAAAUAACAGGUCGGUAACAUGCGGCAUAUGUCUCUCGCCUAUAAUAUGUUGGAAUCAAGUCUUCUGGAUCUUUUUUGAGGAAGUUGCAACAACAAACUGCAUGGCAGCAGGGAAUUCCAGUGAGCAUCCACUUCCUACAUGAACAUUCUCUAUUUUCCAGUGAUACCACAAACUUGUCUCCUGUGUGGUUGAUGUUACUAACUCCAAAUAUAUUUUCACCAGCAUACCUUGUUCAAUAAGAAUAAGAAGAAUUAACACAUGAUUUUAUAACAGAAUCAGAAUCAGAACAGAAUCAGAUUUCAGAGAUGAACAGAAUCAGGCAAAUGAUCAGAACCAGAAAUCAUAAUUCAGAAUUCAGGCAGAUUUCAGAAUAACAUGAUCAGAAUUAUAGAAUUCAGGCAUAAAUCAGGAUCACAAUCAGGCAGAAUCAGGCAGAAUUCAAUAUUACCUACACAACCAGGCAGAAUUCAUAGCAUAAACAACAUCAGAAUCAGGCAGAAUUCAUAGCAUAAACAGGAUCAUAAUCAGACAGAAUUCAUAGCAUAAACAAGAUCAUAAUUAGGCAGAAUUCAUAGCAUAAACAAGAUCAGAAUCAAGCAAAAUUAAUAGCAUAAACAGGAUCAGAAUUAGGCAGAAUUCAUAGCAUAAACAGGAUCAGAAUCAGGCAGAAUUCAUAGCAUAAACAGGAUCAGAAUCAGGCAGAAUUCAUAGCAUAAACAGGAUCAGAAUCAGGCAGAAUUCAUAGCGUUAACAGGAUCAGAAUCAGGCAGAAUUCAUAGCAUAAACAGGAUCAGAAUCAGGCAGAAUUCAUAGCAUAAACAGGAUCAGAAUCAGGCAGAAUUCAUAGCAUAAACAGGAUCAGAAUCAUGCAAAAUUAGGCAGAAAUCAUCAUCAGAGUCUCCAAAAAUUACAUUAACAACACUAUCUUCACCGUCAGACUCAAUAUUGUCUUCUGUUUGGGUUGCACUUUGGGUUGGUUCAUGUGUAUCAUUUCCUACUUUAGCAGCUUCUUGAGCCUUAGUCUGCACAUUAUCCACAUGUUGUGGGCCUGUUUGGGUUGGUUCAUGGGUUUUUUUAGCUUCAUUUUUUUGAGUCUUAUUCUCCACAUUAUCCAUAAAUAUGGGCUGGGAUAUUGGAUGAAUAAGAUACAAAUUGACUUUCCCAUUAGCCUUGGCAAAAUUUACCAUUUCCAUUGCCCCAAUGUCAUUUUCCAAAAAAUUUUCCUCACCAUACGCCUCAUACCAUAUACUAACAACUUCAGGAUACCUCAUUUGUGGUUCAUGUGUAUCAUUUCCUACUUUAGCAGCUUCUUGAGCCUUAGUCUGCACAUUAUCCACAUGUUGUGGGCCUGUUUGGGUUGGUUCAUGGGUUUUUUUAGCUUCAUUUUUUUGAGUCUUAUUCUCCACAUUAUCCAUAAAUAUGGGCUGGGAUAUUGGAUGAAUAAGAUACAAAUUCACUUUCCCAUUAGCCUUGGCAAAAUUUACCAUUUCCAUUGCCCCAAUGUCAUUUUCCAAAAACUUUUUCUCACCAUACGCCUCAUACCAUAUACUAACAACUUCAGGAUACCUCAUUUGUUUAAUAAUAUCCAAAAUCUCAAAGUAACUCCACCUGUCAGCAUCACAUUUCCAAUUAGAAACUUCACCUUGGUACACUUCCAUUGUGUCAUCCCUCCAUGGUGAACAUCGACGGAAAAGACAUCCAUUCUGCUUUUUUACAUUUAAAACACAUAAAAAAAACCCAUUAAUAGAAAACUAUAAUCAAAUGGUAGCGACCACAAAUCUGACCCCAUAAUCUUAGAAAAACAGGAAGGAAUAUGUAUGUGUGGACCACAAACCCUUGACCCAAAAUAAUCAACACAUGUAAGAAUAAAAUCAUUCAAAAUCAAACACAUGCAACUAAUAAAUACCAUAAGAACCCAACUAAACCCUAAACCUAAACCCUAAAAUAAAUCAGAUCAUUAAACAUCAGAAUCCAUAAACACGUUACUUUUUCCUCUCAAUGUGCGAUUACGAUUUCUUGAAGCUUCAGGAAGAAAACGCGAUUCAGGAAGAUUCAGAUCAUUAAUUUACGAUUUCACAGAGAUUCAGGAAGAAAACGCGAAGACGAUAGCAUUUCACGGAAAAUAAAAACAGGAAAAUAAGAACACACAGAGGAAAGCGAUUUCACGGAGAUGAGAAGAGGGAAAUCAGUGGAGAUGAGAGAAGAAAACAGGAAAAUAAGAAGACGAAAAUGAGAAGAUGGAAAUCAGUGGAGAUGAUGAUACCAAACAAGAGAUUUAGAAAUAUCAAAGAGAAAAAACUGGAAAGAAAACGGAUGAGGGAAUUUGUUAACGUUGUCUUAACGGAAUCUCACUUAAAGGGUAAAAUUGAAAUUAUUUCAAAAGAUAAAAUACUGAAAUGGGAAAAAAAAAGUUAAAGGACCAAAACAUUACUUGGACUUAAGUUAAAGGACCACGAAUGUAAUUUAGCCUAAAAAAUUCUAAUGUGUUAAUUUGGAUCCGCUCUAGAAUUAAACGAAACAUAAAUCAUUAAAAAAAUCACUAUUUUGUAUUACAAAAAUUAAAAGUUGAUAUUAUAAAAAAUUGAUUUUUUUAAGAAAAAGAUUUAAAAAAAAAAUCAAUUGUUGAUAGUUUUAAGUUAUAAUAACUUGUAAAUUACAAGUGUCAUGUAAAAAAAUACCACAAUUUAAAAUAUUUUAAUAGUCCAAAUCGAUAUUAAGAGUAUAAAUUAUGAUAAAAUAUUUUCAUUAAAAUAAAAGGAAAUAUAUCAAGUGAUAGAGUUUGAUAUAGUGAACAAAAUGAAAUCAUUGUUUUUUUAAAAAAGUUACAUAAUUCGUGGAUCAACUCAUAGUCUAAAGAGUUCAAUGUAGAUCAAAAUUUAAAUCACAAGUCAAACAAAUAUGACUGUUUUUCUCCCUUAAUCUCACAUAAUUUGAUUGAGUCUAAGCGAAAAUAUUCAAAUUGUUGAACCAUCUAAUUUUCAAAGCCAUCCAUGCCCUGCAUUACCUGCUUUUCAAAUCCAAUAAACUGGAGCAGGUUCAUAUGUCCCCUCAAUAUUCUAUGGAGCUCUUUCUUGAACAUAAAUUUCAUCUAUCUCAAUAUCUUUAGGAGCUCUUUCUUGAGUAGCAACUUUCUUUAUCAAAUAACCUUAUGAAUCCUUCAUGUAUCCCAUCUUGGAUACAAUUGUUAUGGUAAACCGAUUUUCAGAAUCAGAAAGAAGAAACCUAUCAUUAGAAGUGAUAUAACAUUGAACCACAAUUUAAUGAGACAAACAAAUGGAAGAAAGCUACUUAUUUUCUUCUUUACAUUUAUCAUUUUUUGAGCAAAGUUAGCAGGCCAAUUGAUAUUUAUAUCUUCAGCUAUUAACCAUACCAAAAGCACAUCUAACUUAGUAAUCCUAUCAAAAUUACUGGUGAAAUUAUAUAAGGUCUCCUGCAAAAUCCAACAAUUCUAUUGGAUUGAGUAUAAUUAUAUGUGUGAUAACAUCUAUUAUACAAGGAAUAUCAAUUAACUCGAUAAUUGAAAUUGCUCAUAUACCCUUUUUUAGCUUCUAUAAUUGAUUUCUUAAUUCAACUCUUAUCUUACUAAUUGAAAUUAAAGAAUUAGUAGAUCUAUUUCAUCCAAAAUGGGAAUGCACUGAGGUUAUGAACUUAUAUUUCACUAAAGGUGCACAAAUGAAUGAAUGGUCGAAAUAUCAAGAUAUUGAUGCAUGUCAAAGUCUACUAACGUCAAAGUUGAUCUAACACUUAUUAAGGUCUAACACAAACUCUAAAGUAAUACUUUGAUAAAAAAAAUAAAACAGAGUCAUUUUGUAUAGUAACAAUUAUAUUUUACUAUAAUUUUAUUUAAAUUAUACCCUUUUUAAAAAAAAUGCAAAGUAUUUUAGUUAAAUAUGUGGAUGGUUGUGUCUUUUUAUAAUUGUAAGGUCUUUUGCUUAUUGUACUACUUAAAUAUUUUUAUAUUUUUGAGAUAUAAAUAUACAUGAAAAAAUAAAUUUUCUCAAGGACCUAUAACACUUGUUUUACUAGUUUGGACCUUGGACCGACCUUGAUCAACGUAAUCAUAACAUAACAUGCAUCUAAUCUUAUGUAAGAUAAAAUGAUGUUUUCAUACUACUUUUUCUGGUUGAUGAACAUUUGUGAAUAUUGAAAAUUGGAGAAUUAUCAAAGACGCACAAAAUGAUUUAAUUAAAUAAAUCUAGUUUUGACAUUUAUCUAAAAUCCAAAUAUAUUAUAGGAAAACUUGCAUUUAUAUUAAAUGAUGUCUUUUGUAAAAGAAAGUUAUUAAACUAUUAUAAUUUUUUUUUUUAUUUCACAAACAUUUUUACAUUUUUCAAUGUUAAUUCUGCAUUAUUGAGCAAAAUGUGUCACGGUGAAGAGUGAUUAAAUGUCUCUGUAGUUGUAGAGAGAUUGUGUGUAAAUAGUGAAAGGUUAGAAAGAUAUGGCAGGUGGGAGAGAUGGUAAGAAGAAUAUUGUCUUAAAAAUGAUAUGGUAUUUUAUAUAUUUUUUUAUUAUUUAAAUGGGGGUAGGGAAUUAAAUUAAGAAGGUGUGAAUAACAUUUUUCUAUAAAAACCGCGUACACGGUGAAGCCCAAAACACAUAAACCUAUUGUUUUCACGUUUUAGUUUAAUAUUAAUAAAAUAAUAACAAUUUAAGAAGAGAAAUAUACAAUUAUUUAAAUAAUAAUAAAUAAAUAAUAAAAAGAGAAACACAAGCAUGGAGAAGAAGUUAGAAGUUUCGAGAAGCAUAUAGUAGUAACCAUUUUUCUCUCUUUUUAACGUGUGUUCAGAUUCUUCAAAAGAAUCAGAACUAAACCACAUAAAAUAAGUGAAUAACCCAGAAAACCCUUUCUUUCUUUCUUCUACCUCUCGCAUCGCCAUCGCCAGGUAAAACCCUAAUUCAGAUCUCUCUUCAUUCUCUUAGAUUUCAUAAUAAUCAUUGUCGAUUUCAUGUUUAUUCAAUUUAAUUAAAUGCUUAUAUUGCUUUAUAUCAUAGUAUUAAAUUAAAUUACUGUUUUAGUAUUUGAUUUGAUUGUUCGUGUAAAACAUUUAAUUAAUUCACCAUUUACUAUUAUCAUUGCUUUGUGUUGAUUGCAAUUUUAUUUUUGUUCUAUUUUUUCAGAACUUUUUUUGAAAUUUUCUGGUGAAGUGAAAUUUGAUUUGGGAAAGAUGAGCGUGGUGGGUUUUGAUUUUGGUAACGAGAGUUGCAUUGUUGCGGUUGCUAGACAGAGAGGUAUUGAUGUUGUGUUAAACGAUGAAUCGAAAAGGGAAACACCUGCUAUUGUGUGUUUCGGUGAAAAGCAGCGUUUUAUUGGUACUGCUGGUGCUGCUUCCACUAUGAUGAACCCUAAGAAUUCAAUCUCGCAGAUUAAGAGACUUAUUGGAAAGCAAUUCUCUGAUCCCGAAGUGCAGGGUGAUCUUAAGUCUUUGCCUUUUAGUGUCACUGAAGGACCUGAUGGAUACCCUUUGAUUCAUGCUCGUUACUUGGGGGAAGUUAAAACGUUUACGCCUACUCAAGUGUUUGCGAUGAUGCUGUCGAAUCUUAAAGAGAUAGCCCAGAAAAAUCUCAAUGCGGGGGUUAACGAUUGUUGCAUUGGGAUUCCGGUUUAUUUCACUGAUGUUCAGAGAAGGGCUGUUUUGGAUGCUGCAACUAUUGCUGGUUUGCACCCGCUUCGGUUGAUUCAUGAAACUACUGCGACUGCGUUGGCUUAUGGGAUUUAUAAAACGGAUCUUCCUGAAAAUGAUCAGCUGAAUGUGGCCUUUGUUGACAUUGGGCAUGCUAGUAUGCAGGUUUGCAUUGCUGGCUUCAAAAAGGGGCAGCUGAAAGUGUUGGCUCAUUCGUACGAUAGGUCUCUUGGUGGUAGGGAUUUUGAUGAGGUUUUGUUCCAUCAUUUUGCUGGGAAGUUUAAGGAGGAGUACAAAAUUGACGUGCUUCAGAAUGCUAGGGCUUGUUUGAGGCUUAGGGCUGCUUGUGAGAAGAUGAAGAAGAUGCUUAGUGCAAAUCCGGUGGUGCCCCUAAACAUUGAGUGCUUGAUGGAUGAGAAGGACGUAAAGGGUAUCAUGAAGCGUGAAGAGUUUGAGGAACUGAGUCUUCCAAUUUUGGAGCGUGUCAAAGGACCUUUGGAGAAUGCACUUGCAGAAGCUGGGCUCUCAGUUGAUGAUGUACACAUGGUUGAGGUCGUUGGUUCUGGCUCUCGUGUACCGGCCAUUAACAAAAUAUUGACUGAGUUUUUCAAGAAGGAGCCUAGGCGGACAAUGAACGCCAGUGAAUGUGUUGCUAAAGGGUGUGCAUUGGAAUGUGCUAUUCUUAGUCCAACAUUCAAAGUGCGAGAAUUUCAGGUAAAGUUUCUUCUGCAGUUGGUUUCAUGAGUUUGUUUGGUUAUUGUUGUAUGUUCAUAUUCCCAUUCAUAAUAAAACUGUGCAUGCCUUAGUAAUAAUGAGUUUUAGCAUUUUUUAUUCUAUUUUAAUUACUCAUCUCUGCAGUCUACCUCUGUUUAGGCCUUUAUUAAUUUGCACGAGAGUUUCUUUUCUGUGCGUGUGUUUAUGUCCUUGCUUUCACUUGUUCUUAUAAUAAGUUGGAUGCUCUGGUAUAAUGUUGCUAUUUUUUUUCAUGACGUGAAGGUCAACGAUAGCUUUCCUUUCUCAAUUUCUCUUUCGUGGAAAGGAUCUGGUCCAGAUGCACAGGAUAGUGGGUCGGAUAAUAAGCAGAGUUCCCUUGUUUUUCCCAAGGGUAAUCCCAUUCCCAGUAUCAAGGCACUGACUUUCUAUAGGUCAGGAACAUUUUCCAUUGAUGUACAAUAUGGUGAUGUGAGUGGGCUGCAAAAACCUUCUAGGAUCAGCACGUAUACUGUAAGCCAUUUUACAAAUCUCUUCUUACUUUAUCAUAAGGCAUUUUUUCCCUCUUAGAAGUUCUCAUACACUUUUGAUUGUAUGCAGAUUGGUCCUUUUGAAACCAAACAAAACGAAAAGGCAAAGGUGAAAGUUAAAGCUCGUUUGAAUGUGCAUGGAAUUGUAUCUGUUGACUUGGCAACUGUAAGUCUUCUAGUGACUGCUUAGUUUUCUCACCUAUCAAAGCCUCUUGUCCAUUUAUGAUUGUCAAUUAGCGAGCUUGUUUUCCUGGGAACUAACGAUUUUUACUUGUUUUGUUCAGCUCCUGGAAGAAGAAGAAGUCGAGGUUUCAGUUUCCAAAGAAUCAGCAAGAGAAACUACUAAGAUAAAUGCUGAUGAAGCUCCUGCUGAUGCUUCUGCACCUCCGACCUCCAAUAACAGUGAUGGUGAUGUUAAUAUGCAAGAUGCAAAGGCUAGUGCUGAUACCCCUGUGGUUGAAAAUGGUGUCCCUGAGACUGGAGAAAAGCCUGUACAGAUGGAUGUUGAUGAGACCAAGGUGAGUACUUUUGAAAGAAACAUUUAAGUAUGACCUUGUUGUUGAGGUUGGCUGUGGUAUUUAUAUGUGUUUGCAUCAUACUGUUAAUUGAUUUAACUUGAAAAUGAUUUCCUCAUUUUUCUGCUUUGGAUUAAGUGCCAAUCUCCCCAGGAUGUACUAUCAGUCAGUUUUUCAUAAGAUGAUAGUGACAUAAUUUACCAUAUGUUCAUAUAAAAUUUGCAAGUACUCACCCUAAAAACUUUGUUACUGAUUCAGGCUCCAAAGAAGAAGGUUAAGAAAACAAAUGUUCCUAUAGCAGAGUUAGUUUAUGGAGCAAUGGCACCUGUGGAUGUCCAGAAAGCAGUAGAGAAGGAGUUUGAAAUGGCUUUGCAAGAUCGUGUGAUGGAAGAAACUAAGGACAAGAAAAAUGCUGUUGAGGCUUAUGUUUAUGAAACAAGAAACAAGGUCGGGGUUAUCUUUCCUUCUUCUCUUUAAACAAAGUCUUAUAUCAAAUACAAAUGGCCAUCAUUUGAUAAUUGCUAAAACUAAUAUUUUUUUCUGCUAUCAUUUUAGCUCAAUGACAAAUACCAUGACUUUGUCACUGCUUCGGAGAGGGAAGAUCUCACUGCUAAGCUUCAAGAGGUGGAAGAUUGGCUAUAUGAGGAGGGUGAAGAUGAAACUAAAGGUGUAUACAUUGCCAAACUUGAAGAGCUGAAAAAGGUAAGAGGUUUUGCAUAUAAGACAGUCACUGCUCUGGGCCUCUGUCAAGCUGUAAAACUUUACAAAGAAAAAGGGAUUAUAAGAUCCCUGUUGCUUUUAUGGAAAAUAUCAGUGGAUGGAUAAUUUUCGUGUUAGUUAAUCAUUGGUAACUGUAAUUGAUCAUUAUUUAUUUAUGUAACU
rnacentral:lncRNA from 1 species